rnacentral:misc_RNA from 1 species
AUUUCUUCAAACUACCGCCACAGGCACUCUCUUUGUUCUCAUUUUGUCUUUCAAAUUUCUGUAUCAAAGUUUUCUCUUUCUGUGUCCAGCAAGUGGAGGUUUAGGGUUUUAUGGCUUUUCCAUUGAUGAUUAACUUAUGGAUUUCCCCAAUUGAAUGAUUAAGCUUUCUUUUUGCGAGUAAUUGAUGUUUGUUCGUGCGUGUUAGGUAUGGUAUAUGGGAAGUUGU